CCUACGGGAGGCAGCAGUGAGGAAUAUUGGUCAAUGGCCGGAAGGCUGAACCAGCCAAGCCGCGUGAAGGACGAAGGUGCCAAGCAUUGUAAACUUCUUUUGUCAAGGGACAAAAUCAGGCUCGAGAGCCUGACCGAGGGUACUUGAAGAAAAAGCAUCGGCUAACUCCGUGCCAGCAGCCGCGGUAAUACGGAGGAUGCGAGCGUUAUCCGGAUUUAUUGGGUUGAAGGGGUGCGUAGGCGGGCUGUUACGUCAGCGGUAAAAGCCCGGGGCUCAACCCCGGCGAGCCGUUGAAACUGGCUGGCUGGAGAUGUCGAGAGGUAUGAGGAAGGCGCAGUGUAGCGGUGAAAUGCUUAGAUAUUGCGCAGAACUCCGAUUGCGAAGGCAGCAUACCGGCGGCGAUCGGACGCUGAGGCACGAAAGCGUGGGUAUCGAACAGGAUUAGAUACCCUUGUAGUC
rnacentral:rRNA from 1 species